UCUCUUCCCAGUAAUCCACAGAGUGAAACACACCCCUGUGAAACUUUGAUUCCUCAUUGCACACCUUGGCAUCUCCUCCAGGAUGAAUCUGACCUGCAGUUACUGCUCAGCUGUAUUUGUUUUCUUUCACUUGCAUGCUCGUUUUCCCCACUGGACACCCCAAUUUUUCACCAGAUUAUUUAAUUUCUCAUCUUCUCUUCUACUACGUAAUACUGCCUGUUCCUGUUCUCUUCCACCUGUGGAGGUGAAUGCAUCCCAGCAAACAUAUUUCUCAUGGAUGAAAUAAAAGAACUGCUCCUGAGGAGAGGAAAUGGAAGCGGGGAGGGAAGCAGGAAAGAGUUUUCUUACAUUUUGUUCCGUUCCCACUGUUUGGAAAGGGAAUAGCACAGAAUGGCAAGACACUGGGUUCUUGCCAUGCUCUGUUUUUCCCUGGAGAAGCAAGAUCUGCCCCAUCAAGCAGGACUGCAGUACCAGAGGCAUUUAGAAUUGACUUGAGGAAGGGUGUGUACAGCAGUGGCAAUGAAAUUUCUUUUUAAAGUUGACCAAACCCCCAAGACAACAUGACAACAUCAAGACUGGCUAGCACAAGCCCAUACUUUGGGUUGUCAUCAUUUCCAGUGUGGAAAAUGGCUUUUGAUGAGCUGUACAUCACAGAAGUCUUCAAAUUACAUCCGCUCAUGCACAGAUGCCGUAUGAUGAAUAUCUUUCCAAUGUGAAGUUAUUCCCUGCUGUUAAUUUCCUGAAGCUGUGAGCAUCUCCCCCAAAACUGGUAACAGGCAGCAGCUAGAGCUGACUGGAAGACAAGAAUUUCCAUUUUUAUUAACAUCUUAGGGGCUUCAACAUUUGUUUUGUCCUGUUGGUUUACCAAAAAAAAAAAAAAAAAAAAAAAAAAAAAAAGCCCAAAAAGCACACUGGAA